UACGAAGGGGGCGAGCGUUGUUCGGAUUUACUGGGCGUAAAGGGCGCGCAGGCGGCUAGUUUUGUCGAGUGUGAAAGCCCCGGGCUUAACCCGGGAACUGCGCUCGAAACGGGCUGGCUAGAGAUCGGGGGAGGAGAGUGGAAUUCCCAGUGUAGAGGUGAAAUUCGUAGAUAUUGGGAAGAACACCGGUGGCGAAGGCGGCUCUCUGGACCGAUACUGACGCUGAGGCGCGAAAGCGUGGGGAGCAAACAGG
rnacentral:rRNA from 1 species